rnacentral:rRNA from 1 species
GAUGAACGCUGGCGGCGUGCCUAAUACAUGCAAGUCGAGCGAACAGACGAGGAGCUUGCUCCUCUGACGUUAGCGGCGGACGGGUGAGUAACACGUGGAUAACCUACCUAUAAGACUGGGAAAACUUCGGGAAACCGGAGCUAAUACCGGAUAAUAUAUUGAACCGCAUGGUUCAAUAGUGAAAGACGGUUUUGCUGUCACUUAUAGAUGGAUCCGCGCCGCAUUAGCUAGUUGGUAAGGUAACGGCUUACCAAGGCAACGAUGCGUAGCCGACCUGAGAGGGUGAUCGGCCACACUGGAACUGAGACACGGUCCAGACUCCUACGGGAGGCAGCAGUAGGGAAUCUUCCGCAAUGGGCGAAAGCUUGACGGAGCAACGCCGCGUGAGUGAUGAAGGUCUUCGGAUCGUAAAACUCUGUUAUUAGGGAAGAACAAAUGUGUAAGUAACUAUGCACGUCUUGACGGUACCUAAUCAGAAAGCCACGGCUAACUACGUG